AAUAGAUACCCGGUAGUCCACGCCGUAAACGAUGAGUGCUAAGUGUUAGAGGGUUUCCGCCCUUUAGUGCUGCAGCUAACGCAUUAAGCACUCCGCCUGGGGAGUACGGUCGCAAGACUGAAACUCAAAGGAAUUGACGGGGGCCCGCACAAGCGGUGGAGCAUGUGGUUUAAUUCGAAGCAACGCGAAGAACCUUACCAGGUCUUGACAUCCUCUGACAACUCUAGAGAUAGAGCGUUCCCCUUCGGGGGACAGAGUGACAGGUGGUGCAUGGUUGUCGUCAGCUCGUGUCGUGAGAUGUUGGGCUAAGUCCCGCAACGAGCGCAACCCUUGAUCUUAGUUGCCAGCAUUCAGUUGGGCACUCUAAGGUGACUGCCGGUGACAAACCGGAGGAAGGUGGGGAUGACGUCAAAUCAUCAUGCCCCUUAUGACCUGGGCUACACACGUGCUACAAUGGAUGGUACAAAGGGCUGCAAGACCGCGAGGUCAAGCCAAUCCCAUAAAACCAUUCUCAGUUCGGAUUGU
rnacentral:rRNA from 1 species